rnacentral:rRNA from 1 species
CCUACGGGUGGCAGCAGGGAGGAAGAGUGGGCAAUGGACGAGAGUCUGAACCAGCCAAGUAGCGUGAAGGAUGACUGCCCUAUGGGUUGUAAACUUCUUUUAUAUGGGAAUAAAACGUUCCACGUGUGGGCUUUUGUAUGUACCAUAUGAAUAAGGAUCGGCUAACUCCGUGCCAGCAGCCGCGGUAAUACGGAGGAUCCGAGCGUUAUCCGGAUUUAUUGGGUUUAAAGGGAGCGUAGGUGGAUUGUUAAGUCAGUUGUGAAAGUUUGCGGCUCAACCGUAGAAUUGCAGUUGAAACUGGCAGUCUUGAGUACAGUAGAGGUGGGCGGAAUUCGUGGUGUAGCGGUGAAAUGCUUAGAUAUCACGAAGAACUCCGAUUGCGAAGGCAGCUCACUGGACUGCAACUGACACUGAGGCUCGAAAGUGUGGGUAUCAAACAGGAUUAGAUACCCUUGUAGUC